UGUCCCAACAAAUGUGGUGUAUUGUUGCGGCUUCUGAGGUGGUGCGAUUCUUGCCUGCUGCACACGUACCCUUGUCGAAAGUCCACAGAUUGCGGAGUGCGCCAAAUCAACGUCCACGAAAAGGAAGACUUGAUCCUGAACUGUGGGCUCCACUGGCAUAAAAUUUCUACAG